UACGGGGGGAGCAAGCGUUGUUCGGAUUUACUGGGCGUAAAGGGCGCGUAGGCGGCGCAACAAGUCACUUGUGAAAUCUCCGGGCUUAACCCGGAGCGGCCAAGUGAUACUGUCGUGCUAGAGUUCGGUAGGGGAGACUGGAAUUCCUGGUGUAGCGGUGAAAUGCGCAGAUAUCAGGAGGAACACCGGUGGCGAAGGCGGGUCUCUGGGCCGAUACUGACGCUGAGGAGCGAAAGCGUGGGGAGCGAACAGG
rnacentral:rRNA from 1 species